rnacentral:rRNA from 1 species
CCUACGGGAGGCAGCAGUGAGGCAUAUUGGUCAAUGGGCGAGAGCCUGAACCAGCCAAGUCGCGUGAGGGAGUACUGCCCUAUGGGUUGUAAACCUCUUUUGUCGGGGAGCAAAAGCCGGACGUGUCCGGCUUUGAGAGUACCCGAAGAAAAAGCAUCGGCUAACUCAGGGCCCGCAGCCGCGGUAAUACAGAGGAUGCGAGCGUUAUCCGGAUUUAUUGGGUUAAUAGGGUGCGCAGGCGGAUUUUUAAGUCAGCGGUCAAAUCAUGGGGCUCAACCCCAUCCAGCCGUGGAAACUGGGGAUCUAGAGUGGGCGAGAGGUAUGCGGAAGGCGUGGUGUAGCGGUGAAAUGCAUAGAUAUCACGCAGAACCCCGAUUGCGAAGGCAGCAUACCGGUGCACAACUGACGCUCAGGCACGAAAGCGUGGGUAGCGAACAGGAUUAGAUACCCUUGGAGUC